rnacentral:lncRNA from 1 species
CUAAGUCUAAAGAGAGGUCAUAUCCCCAAAAAAGGCACAACAGAAAGAACUCAUAUAUUUUAGAAAAAUAUGUUUGUAGAAAAGAGACUGUAUUUUCCUAUCCUUCUCUUCAUUUACCUUCUCUUUUGUUCGUCUCGAUUUACUAUAUCACAAUCUUUACAGGACAACAAGAUCAGUCUUUCAAAUUCUACAGCAGGGCUUGCCGGGCCUCUGUUGUUCGUCUCGAUUUGCUAUAUCGCAACCUUUACAGGACUACAACAUCACUCUUUCGAAUUCUACUGCAGGGCUUGCCGG